rnacentral:SRP_RNA from 1 species
GCUGGGCAUGAUGGCGUACACGCCUGCGAUCCCUGCUGCUGGGGAGGCUGAGGUUGGUGUUUUGCUUGAGCUCGGGAGUACUGAGCAGUAGUAGGACUAAAGCUGAGCAGGUAUCUUCAUUAAGUCCUUUACCAAUAUGGUGAGUUCCUGGGAGUGAGAUUACCAGGCUGCCUAAGGAGGGACAAAGAGGCCCAGGUUAGAAGUGGAAUAGGUUAAAGCUUGCAUACUGAUCAGUAUUUAUUGGGAUUGGUCCUAUGAGUGGUCACUGCAUUUCCAGCCUGGGUGAGAUGAUAAUAAUAACGACAAU